rnacentral:ncRNA from 1 species
UCCUGGCACAGGAACGACCAUAAAGAAGCCGUCGAGAGGUAUCGGAAGAGUUUUCUUUUCUGUUUUAUAGCCGUACUACCAUGGAAGUCUUUCGCAGAGAGAUAUGGUAGAUGGGCUAGAAGAGCAUGACAUAUACUGUUGUGUCGAUAUUUUCUCCUCGGACCUUGAAAAUUUAUGGUGGGGAUACGCAAACUUCUCAACAGGCCGUACCAAUAUCCGCAGCUGGUCUCCAAGGUGAAGAGUCUCUAGUCGAUAGAAUAAUGUAGGUAAGGGAAGUCGGCAAAUUAGAUCCGUAACUUCGGGAUAAGGAUUGGCUCUGAAGAUUGAGAUAGUCGGGCUUGAUUGGGAAACAAUAACAUGGUUUAUGUGCUCGUUCUGGGUAAAUAGAGUUUCUAUCAUUUAUGAUAGUUAUUUGUUCCCCGGAUAGUUAGUUACGUAGCCAAUUGUGGAACUUUCUUGCUAAAAUUUUUAAGAAUACUAAUUUUUAAUUAGUUCUUUUAAAUUAUAACGAUUAUCAAUUAACAAUCAAUUCAGAACUGGCACGGACUUGGGGAAUCCGACUGUCUAAUUAAAACAAAGCAUUGUGAUGGCCCUAGCGGGUGUUGACACAAUGUGAUUUCUGCCCAGUGCUCUGAAUGUCAAAGUGAAGAAAUUCAAGUAAGCGCGGGUCAACGGCGGGAGUAACUAUGAUCUCUCUCGCGGGAGAGAUUCCCUGUGCAGUAUGCGGGCGCCUCUUCAAUACUAGAAGGGGGCUCGGUGUACACAUGUCACAUCAACACAAAGACGAACUAGAUACGCAACGUCAGCGUGAAGAUGUAAAACUCCGAUGGAGCGAGGAAGAAGCGU